UGACCUCGGGCUGUACGGGACUACCCG
rnacentral:rRNA from 1 species